GGCGAACGCUGGCGGCGUGCUUAACACAUGCAAGUCGAACGGUGAAGCUCCAGCUUGCUGGAGUGGAUCAGUGGCGAACGGGUGAGUAACACGUGAGCAACCUGCCCCAGACUCUGGAAUAAGCGCUGGAAACGGCGUCUAAUACUGGAUACGAGAUCAAGCCGCAUGGUUAUGGUCUGGAAAGUUUUUCGGUUUGGGAUGGGCUCGCGGCCUAUCAGCUUGUUGGUGAGGUAAUGGCUCACCAAGGCGACGACGGGUAGCCGGCCUGAGAGGGCGACCGGCCACACUGGGACUGAGACACGGCCCAGACUCCUACGGGAGGCAGCAGUGGGGAAUAUUGCACAAUGGGCGAAAGCCUGAUGCAGCGACGCCGCGUGAGGGAUGACGGCCUUCGGGUUGUAAACCUCUUUCAGCAGGGAAGAAGCGAAAGUGACGGUACCUGCAGAAGAAGCACCGGCUAACUACGUG
rnacentral:rRNA from 1 species